AGGACAAGAAGAGCGGGAGCAAAGCGCCGGCGGUGGUGCUAGGAUUCGAGUGCUUGGAGAGCACAGCGUUCAACGGCAUUGCCACGAACCUGGUGGUGUACCUGGAGACCGUCCUGCACGGCAGCAGCCUCGCGAGCGCGUCCAAUGUCACGACGUGGUUCGGCACGAGCUACCUCACGCCGGUGUUCGGCGCCAUCAUCGCCGACACGUUCUUCGGCAACUACAACACCAUCCUCGUCUCCCUCGUGUUCUACCUCCUGGGCAUGGUGCUGGUCACCUUCUCGGCGUUCCUGCCGACCACCGCGCUGUGCGCCGUGGCGGGCUCGACGUCGUGCCAGCAGCCUGUGUUUGGCGCGCAGACCAUCGCCUUCGUGGGGCUCUACCUCGUGGCGUUCGGCAGCGGCGGCGUGCGCGCGGCGCUGCUGCCGUUCGGCGCGGAGCAGUUCGACGACGACAACGCGGUGGACCGGGAGCGGAAGAUGUCCUUCUUCAGCUGGUUCUACAUGUGCGUCGACUUCGGGAUGAUCGUGUCGGGCCUAUUCAUCGUGUGGAUCCAGCAGAACGUGAGCUGGGGACUCGGCUUCGGCAUCGCCACGGUUUGCGUCGCGAUCGCGUUCGGCGGCUUCGUGCUCGCCACGCCCAUGUACAAGCGCAGCAUGCCCACCGGCACGCCGCUCAAGAGCCUCGCCCAGGUGGUGGUCGCCGCGUGCCGGAAGGUCAGCCUCCGUGUCCCCGCCGACGCCGCCCUCCUCUACGAGGUCCAUGACAAGAUCGAUCAGCCCAAGAUCACGCACACCGACGAGUUCAGCUUUCUUGACAAGGCGGCGGUGAUCGUGCAGUCCGACCUGGAAGAGGACUCGAACGACGCCUCGGCGGCGGCCGCGGGCUCGUGGAGGCUAUGCACGGUGACGCAGGUGGAGGAGCUCAAGAUCCUGAUGCGGCUGCUGCCGAUAUGGGCGACGAGCAUCGUGCUGUCGGCGGCGUACGCGCAGCUGAACACCACGUUCGUGCAGCAGGGCGCCGCGAUGAACAUGCGGAUCAUGUCGUUCACCAUCCCCGCCGCGUCGAUGGUGUCCUUCGAGGUGUUCUGCGUCCUGGCAUGGGUGCUCGUCUACGGCUCGGUGAUCGUGCCGCUCCUCAGGAGCUUCUCCCCGGCCAACGGCGAGCCGUCGCAGCUGCGGCGCAUGGGCGCCGGCCGUCUGCUCAUCGCGGUCGCCAUGGCCAUCGCCGCGCUGGUGGAGAUGGUGCGCCUCGACGCGGCGGCGCGCGGCGAGUCCCUGAGCAUCGCGUGGCAGAUGCCGCAGUACUUCAUGCUGGCCGGCGGUGAGGUGUUCUGCUACAUCGCGCAGCUGGAGUUCUUCUACAGCGAGGCGCCGGAGUCCAUGAAGAGCAUCUGCACGUCGCUGGCGCUGCUCACCGUGGCGCUGGGAAGCUACAUGAGCUCCUUCAUCUACGCCGUCGUGAACGCGUUCACCGCCGUGGACGGCCGGCCCGGGUGGAUUUCGGACAACCUCAACGAGGGACACCUGGACUACUUCUUCUGGGUCAUGUCGGCGCUGUGCACGCUCAACUUCGUCGUGUACAGCGCGUUCGCGCGGAACUACAAGGUGAAGACGGUCGUGUCAUGAUCGCUCGCCCACACGUCCGCGCGUACAUAGGCAAAACAAGGUAGCGUUAGGAACGGGGUGCGUCCAGGAAAUACACGGGACACGUCCGGUGCACCUGCGAAACGGUUUUUGUAUCGCAGCGACCAAUAUCUUCUGGCUGCUGCUGAUCGACGCCAUCGUGUUCCUUGUUGUUUAUUGUUUCUUUCUUUUUGUCGGUUUUACUGGAAAGGAAAUACGGAUGGGCAACAGGACAUCCAUGAACUUUAUUUAUGCUGUGGUCCUGAAAGAAAAAACAGAAGGAAAUGCAAUGUGGAAACAUGGUGUGACCGUGUGAGUGAUACCGCACAUUUCAUGGUAGUACUCUGCAACAGUUAUGGCCGUUGGUGAUCAAAUCUCUAUGGGCCGUUUGUAAAUCUCGACCAUAAAUCAAAACUCUUAAAUUUAUGGGCCAUUUGUAAACUUGCCAACGCUAGGACCCAGAAUGCGCUGUCGAGAGUCCAGAGCCCAGCCUUGGCCGCAGUGAUGAAUAAAUGGGCCAUAUCUGGACCGGCAUCAUCGAAGUGUAUCUACAGCCAGGAAAAGGCCCAUUUGGCUCCCUCAAAUAUAUGAGUCAUAUACACGGUAAAAUUUACAACAAAAUAGUCAAAGUUCACAUUAUUUGCUAUAGGACACCGUAAAAACAUGAUAAUUAGUUACUAGACACGAACAGAUUAUUUUAUUAUAUCCGUUGCAAGUACAGAUAGAGAAACUUUUUAAAAUGAUAAGUUUGUCCAUAGGGCUUAUUUAUUUUUAACCCGAGCAGAUCUAGUUCAAACCGGACCCAUACUAAGAGAGUGAGAAUGGACUGGAUUGGGAGAGUCAGAAUGGUCUGGUCUGAUUUGAAUCAGACCCAAUCACCUUACAAACAGAUCAACACAUGAGUAAUUUACUACUUUCCACGCUGUUACUCUCCGCGUUUGUACCGGAUGUAAUGAAAUCCGUGUUUUCAUUGUGUCCUUUAACAAAUACUCCCUCCGUCCCAUAAUAUAAGUGAUUUUGAGUUUUUGUUUGCAUUAUUUGACCACUCGUCUUAUUUAAAAAAUUUGUGCAAAUAUAAAAAACGAAAAGUUGUGCUUAAAGUACUUUGGAUAAUAAAGUAAGUCAAAAAAAUAAAUAAUAAUUCUAAAUUUUUUUAAUAAGACGAGUGGUCAAAUAGCGUAAGUAAAAACUAUAAAUCCCUUAUAUUAUGGGACGGAGGGAGUACGUGUUUUUAAUGUCCAGUAACAAAUACCACAAAUUUUAAAUGUACUAUAGUAAAUUUUGCCAAACUAAUAAAUAUACAUGUCAUAUAGUGAUUUGCAUCGUCGGGACUUCUUUCUUAUGAAGCUACCUUAUGAUUUUCAGUUCUGACGAGCAGGAGCUUGGGACACGGAGACAAGCUUUUGACAGCUAAAACUUAAUUAAUUACUUGAGAUUUAGGGUUAUCUCCUAAAUUUCUGUUAGAUUCUGACAAGAUACAGUGAAUAUUUUGAAGUACAAAAUGUAUAAGCAAGUUCACUAUAGUAUUGAACAGCCCAUUGUUUCGUUAAUUUGGGGAAUAAGCGAAACGGCUUAUUUGUAAAUAAAAAAUAAUUUAUAAAUAAAAUUUUUAUAUCGUGUUCUUAGCGAUUUAAAAAUAAAGGUUGAAAAAUAAACUUCGAUGAAAAAAAUCUCAAAAUUAACUCUAAAUUUAAAUUUUAGCCGAUAAGUAUAAGCAUAAUCUGCUCCUGCUUGGGAGGAUCAUGAUGUACUACUUUGAUUGCGUCAAUUUUACUCCUUCCGCUUGAGCAAACGGCGAUGAUAAAUUUAUUUCACAGCCCUCGCAGCCAUGCAUCAACACGUAAUUAAGUACUAGUUGACAGUGAAAGAAAACGUAGUUAAUUGCGUCGACAUACUGUAGAACUGUCAGCUCCUAUAUAAGUAGAACCACCCACCCCCAUUAAGUUAUCCACUGUCUUAUUCUGUCCACGUCAUUAAACAAAGCCACAAAAAGGCCUUCGCGGCCUCUUGCAUUUCUGCAGGUCGCGGAGCGGGUGCACCGAAAUUUCCCGUCUCGCGUCGCGAACUAACUUAAAUAUAACCAUCACUUGCUAAUACUUUAUCCAAUUAUCUAGUAGUUCUUGCGUUCUCUCGUGAGAAUCUCAUCGCGUGAUGAUUUCGGGCAGUGGACCGGUGUCGCGCAUGUGCGCGUUAAUAACCAUUUGAUAGCCACGAAUCAAUUAGAACAUGUACAAUAGCAGGCUAUAAACCAGCUAUAACCACAUAUCGAGAAGAAAAGAGAAGAGAGAAGAAAGCGGACUAUAGAUUUAUAGCCGGCUGCAACACGGACUCCAAUACGUUAUGAGUAUAUAAGAGAUAGGACCGAAUAUUAAUGAUGUAGUAUAUUUUUAUAGAUAACUAUUAUAUAAAUGGGCUAUUAGAUUGACUAUAAAUGAUUUGGAGCCCAGUUGGCUAUACUAUUGAACUUGCUCUUAACAAGUACUACAACUGCAGCGUUUGAACCGAUCUCGCCUCGCUCUAAUAACACUUCAUCUUCCGAGUUCCGAUUGUCCGGGGUUGGUGAGUUGGUCUGUUGGUGGCCGGGGCGCGGGCGCGCUUACCUGUUCUCCCUCGCGUGGAGCUCUUUGACUACGCCCGCCAGCUGCGCGUGUGUAUAACCUUGCUUGCUUGCCUCUCACAGCCGAAGUCGCAGGCGCAGUCAGGAGCUAUCGGGAAAACGGGAUUUCCCCCAGCUUUCCAAGGUUCGCGGGUCAAUCUCGCAGUGAUACUCCGGCGGCGGCAAUGGACGCCGGCGAAAUCAUCGUGGCCCAGCCAUCGCCGCGGCUGUAUAAGGUAUGUGAAACUUCAUGAGCGAGCUCGCCGUCGACCCAAGCUUAGGGAGAUAUAGGGAUUGAUAUUAUCGGUGCAGCAGUGCGUGAUUAGUUGUUUAGUUUAGCUUGCUUCUUAAUUUGAGGGCUUUCAUUUGGAGUUUAUAAUCUGAUUGUUUGGAUUGCUUUUGUGCAGAGUUUGACUUUCCGGAGGAUCGCGACGAAGGAAAGGACCAUUCCCCAGGAUGAAGAGAUGAAGGUAAGCACCUCUUGAUCACGUUUGAACUCGUCCUCUGUUGUUAAUUAGUCAUUAACUUGCGUAGUUGUAGUCCGUAGUAAUAGAAAAACUUGGCGGGCGGGGUGCGAUGUGUGAUGAUCUGCUGCAAGAACUGAGAAAUUUUUGCGUCAAAAAGGAACUGAGAAAUUUUUGGAUAAUGGAUCACAUAACUCGUCUUCUAAACUCUAAUAAAUGGAUGUAUACGACCAUUUUGUGCAUUCGUUUUAGUAAAAAAAGCAGCUACACAUUGUUUUCUUGUUUUUGCUAGUACUUUAAUAUAGUAUACAUGCUAUAUUGUUGGUUUAUUACGGAUUCCAUUUUUCAGGUGUCCUAUGGUAAUAAUUUUCGCAAGUGUUUUUUUUUGAAUUCAUCACUGCAGACAACAAGAAAUAUGAUUUAAUGGUCAAAUUGAUUACCCUGCAAAUUGUGUUGUGACAAUAAAAUGAUAUUCUCAAUUUCAAGAGGCCAGCAUGCAAUUUCUACUAUCAUAAAAUAGUGAAAUUAAUUGACCGUAUCAAGAACUGUACACAACUGUUAGGUUUUUCAAGUUAUUGUACUAGACCGUAUCCACCUGCCAGAUUUUUGUUCUAAAAGCGUAAUUUAUUUUAUAUUAAGCUAUUAUCAAUAUCUCGAUGCAAAUGUGUGUUCUUUUUUAUUAAAAGAUUCUUUCACUAGGGAAAAACGUCCGGCCAAUCAAUUUGUCCCAGCAUAGUCGCCCUAUGGGCUAUUUUUAUAGGCCUUAGGCAGCCGUACGCCCUGUUGAAAAAAAAAAAGACUCCCAGCUCAAACCCAGCCCAAAACAUCUGUUAAUUUGGUUUUACAUGUAAAAUCAUUGGGAGCCCGUAGAUUCAGAAACAAAGGUCUCAAAUUGGAUAUUUUUCUUAAUUUUUAUAUUAUUUCAUAUUAUUUCUAAAAGAUUAAAAAAUAAAUUACAGUUUUAAAGUUUUGCAAAAAUUUACUCCUCCCGCCCUACCGUAGAGCGAUAUAUGUGACAUGGCAAUCCAGGGAGGGGGUGCCGUGGCAAUUUUGCAUAAAUCGCCCUCCCCUAGGACGAUUUAUUCUUGAGAAGGAGCCAUCUAUAAAAUUGUCAUGACGCAAAAUUUAGUGAUGCAUCGGGUGCGUUAUGGCAAUUUUACAAGGCUCCCACCCGAGGAGAAAUCGCCUUCCUGUAAAGUGAUUUAUCUUUCAAGGGGGCCACCUACAAAUUGUCACGGUAUACCUCCCACGGGGUGCCAUGCCACAUAGAUUGUCCUAUUGUAAGGUGAUUUAUAAGUCCACUUUUCGAUAUGUAAAAUUUUAAAAUGAUAAUUUAUUUUUUAAUUUUUUUUAAAAAAAUAAACAAAUCCUCAAAUUGUGCAAUCUUUUGAGGCCUUAUUUCGUUGCAAACUUUUUCUUCAAACUUCUAACUUUUCUAUCACAUCAAAACUUUUUUACACACGUAAACUUUCAACUUUUCUAUCACAUUGUUUUAAUUUUAACCAAACUUUCAAUUUUAACGUAAACUAGACACAUCCUGACUUCGUUCGCAGAUUCGCAGCCCGAGGUUCCAGGACGAAAGCCUCACUGCGCCAUUUAUACUAGACAAGAAAGCGAGGAGCAAAGCGCCAACAGUGGUCCUAGGAUUCGAGUGCUUGGAGAGCACAGCAUUUAACGGCAUUGCCACGAACCUGGUGGUGUACCUGGAGACUCUCCUGCACGGCAGCAAUCUCGCGAGCGCGUCCAAUGUCACGACGUGGUUCGGGACGAGCUACCUCACCCCGGUGUUCGGCGCCAUCAUCGCCGACACGUUCUGGGG
rnacentral:lncRNA from 1 species